rnacentral:rRNA from 1 species
AAAGCGAGCGGCGGAUGGGUGAGUAACACGUGGGGAACCUGCCCCUAAGUCUGGGAUACCAUUUGGAAACAGGUGCUAAUACCGGAUAAUAAAGCAGAUCGCAUGAUCAGCUUUUGAAAGGCGGCGUAAGCUGUCGCUAAGGGAUGGCCCCGCGGUGCAUUAGCUAGUUGGUAAGGUAACGGCUUACCAAGGCGACGAUGCAUAGCCGAGUUGAGAGACUGAUCGGCCACAUUGGGACUGAGACACGGCCCAAACUCCUACGGGAGGCAGCAGUAGGGAAUCUUCCACAAUGGACGCAAGUCUGAUGGAGCAACGCCGCGUGAGUGAAGAAGGUUUUCGGAUCGUAAAGCUCUGUUGUUGGUGAAGAAGGAUAGAGGUAGUAACUGGCCUUUAUUUGACGGUAAUCAACCAGAAAGUCACGGCUAACUACGUGCCAGCAGCCGCGGUAAUACGUAGGUGGCAAGCGUUGUCCGGAUUUAUUGGGCGUAAAGCGAGCGCAGGCGGAAAAAUAAGUCUAAUGUGAAAGCCCUCGGCUUAACCGAGGAACUGCAUCGGAAACUGUUUUUCUUGAGUGCAGAAGAGGAGAGUGGAACUCCAUGUGUAGCGGUGGAAUGCGUAGAUAUAUGGAAGAACACCAGUGGCGAAGGCGGCUCUCUGGUCUGCAACUGACGCUGAGGCUCGAAAGCAUGGGUAGCGAACAGGAUUAGAUACCCUGGUAGUCCAUGCCGUAAACGAUGAGUGCUAAGUGUUGGGGGGGUUUCCGCCUCUCAGUGCUGCAGCUAACGCAUUAAGCACUCCGCCUGGGGAGUACGACCGCAAGGUUGAAACUCAAAGGA